rnacentral:rRNA from 1 species
GAUGAACGCUGGCGGCGUGCCUAAUACAUGCAAGUCGAGCGAACAGACGAGGAGCUUGCUCCUCUGACGUUAGCGGCGGACGGGUGAGUAACACGUGGAUAACCUACCUAUAAGACUGGGAUAACUUCGGGAACCGGAGCUAAUACCGGAUAAUAUAUUGAACCGCAUGGUUCAAUAGUGAAAGACGGUUUUGCUGUCACUUAUAGAUGGAUCCGCGCCGCAUUAGCUAGUUGGUAAGGUAACGGCUUACCAAGGCGACGAUGCGUAGCCGACCUGAGAGGGUGAUCAGCCACACUGGAACUGAGACACGGUCCAGACUCCUACGGGAGGCAGCAGUAGGGAAUCUUCCGCAAUGGGCGAAAGCCUGACGGAGCAACGCCGCGUGAGUGAUGAAGGUCUUCGGAUCGUAAAACUCUGUUAUUAGGGAAGAACAAAUGUGUAAGUAACUAUGCACGUCUUGACGGUACCUAAUCAGAAAGCCACGGCUAACUACGUG